AUUUUUGAAAUUAAGAAAUCCGUGAUUUUACUUGCAGGCAUGACUGAUAAAUGGAAUUAUUUUACUUUUAUAUAGAAUAUGGACGGCACUCCAGUACAGCAUGUGCAUGGUUGGACCUGUUGACAUUUUUAGAAACGCAUCUUGGUCUAUUAUACAGAGUAUUGUUGUACUGCUCCAAAGUGCUUGUUGACAGACUGAAACCACUUGCUUGCAGCUCAUAAGGUUUACUUCUUGAGAGCAGGCAGCUACAAAAUGGAAGGUCGACAAAUCCAGUAUACUUGAAAAGCAAGAAAGAAACACCAAAAAAUAUGAAAAGACAGAAAUACAAGUGA